CUUCAUCAGGACUGAAGAGAGAUGGGGAAGAGGCCCUAUAAAGAAGGAGGAAACCAAACCACCCAGAGGAAACGCACACACUCACGGGAAAGAACGUACAAGCUCCUUACGUACAGAGUCAGAACUGAACUCUGACCUUGCAGAAUGCCCCCCUCGGAAACUGCUGCACUUCUGAAGAAACUUCGUGUUAUUUCUUCAGAUGCUGCCUGACCUGCUGAGUUCCUCCAGCAAUUUGUGUGUGUCCUGUUAGUACAGUGGCUGCUACACAGCUACAACAUGUUGCACCCCCCUCCAGCUCACUUUGAGUUGCCCUGCCUGGGUACGUGAGUGGUUGAACGCAGAAGCUGAUGGAAAUGACAGAAGAACAAAAAUAGCA